UGGUGGGUAGUUUGACUGGGGCGGUCUCCUCCUAAAGAGUAACGGAGGAGCACGAAGGUUGGCUAAUCCUGGUCGGACAUCAGGAGGUUAGUGCAAUGGCAUAAGCCAGCUUGACUGCGAGCGUGACGGCGCGAGCAGGUGCGAAAGCAGGUCAUAGUGAUCCGGUGGUUCUGAAUGGAAGGGCCAUCGCUCAACGGAUAAAAGGUACUCCGGGGAUAACAGGCUGAUACCGCCCAAGAGUUCAUAUCGACGGCGGUGUUUGGCACCUCGAUGUCGGCUCAUCACAUCCUGGGGCUGAAGUAGGUCCCAAGGGUAUGGCUGUUCGCCAUUUAAAGUGGUACGCGAGCUGGGUUUAGAACGUCGUGAGACAGUUCGGUCCCUAUCUGCCGUGGGCGCUGGAGAACUGAGGGGGGCUGCUCCUAGUACGAGAGGACCGGAGUGGACGCAUCACUGGUGUUCGGGUUGUCAUGCCAAUGGCACUGCCCGGUAGCUAAAUGCGGAAGAGAUAAGUGCUGAAAGCAUCUAAGCACGAAACUUGCCCCGAGAUGAGUUCUCCCUGAGACUUUAGGUCUCCUGAAGGAA
rnacentral:rRNA from 1 species